rnacentral:ncRNA from 1 species
CACGAGGCUGUAGCUGAAGGAAGUCCGAUGCAAACUCAUGAACUGACGAACAGAAACUGGAUAUAAGGCUGAAUUAGAUCGGAUAAGGUUGCUGAACAAACUAAAGUCCAAUACUGCUUAAAACCUAUACAGUAAAUCCAGCAGUUACAUGGGAGGGAAGUUUU